rnacentral:rRNA from 1 species
UACGUAGGGUGCAAGCGUUGUCCGGAAUUAUUGGGCGUAAAGAGCUCGUAGGCGGUUUGUCGCGUCGGCUGUGAAAACCUGGGGCUCAACCCCGGGCCUGCAGCCGAUACGGGCAAACUAGAAUUCGGUAGGGGAGACUGGAAUUCCUGGUGUAGCGGUGAAAUGCGCAGAUAUCAGGAGGAACACCGGUGGCGAAGGCGGGUCUCUGGGCCAAAACUGACGCUGAGGAGCGAAAGCGUGGGGAGCGAACAGG